rnacentral:rRNA from 1 species
UGAUGAUGGCCUUAGGGUCGUAAAGCUCUUUCGCCAGGGAUGAUAAUGACAGUACCUGGUGAAAAAACCCCGGCUAUCUCCGUGCCACCACCCGCGGUAUUACGGAGGGGGUUAGCGUUGUUCGGAAUUACUGGGCGUAAAGCGCGCGUAGGCGGACUGGAAAGUUGGAGGUGAAAUCCCGGGGCUCACCCCCGGAACUGCCUCUAAAACUGUGAGUCUAGAGUUCGAGAGAGGUGAGUGGAAUUCCGAGUGUAGAGGUGAAAUUCGUAGAUAUUCGGAGGAACACCAGUGGCGAAGGCGGCUCACUGGCUCGAUACUGACGCUGAGGUGCGAAAGUGUGGGGAGCAAACAGGAUUAGAUACCCUGGUAGUCCACACCGUAAACGAUGAAUGCUAGACGUCGGGUAGUAUACUGUUGGUGACAAUUUG